rnacentral:lncRNA from 1 species
UGCAGACAUCGCUCGCUCCAAGUGAGCCAUAUGUUUGGGAUUUUGGAUCGCCAUCAUAUAGGCCCAGCCUCAUUUGUACCGUAACAAGGUACGUGAGAGCUUGGUUUAUGGUUGCUUCAGUGACUUUCUUUUGCUGAAUUGCGGACAGUGUGUGCUUGGCCAGGAAGGUUCCGCAAUUCAGGUUCAAGCCUGGAAAGCUGUUUAGUUCGUGAAAAAGCUUUGGUGGAGGAAAAUUCUUACCGGCUAACAAUGCGUCUGCGGCUGCAUCCUCUGCCGUGGCUGCAUAGUUGGUGUUGUCAAAGAAUACUUGCAACGAAUCGCAGUCAGAUACUAUAUAUCUGAAGAGCGGAAACAAUCAAGUAAGGGUGAGCUGCUGAAUUCGCACUAUCGUUCUCACCCAUUGAGUUUCCAGGUCUCUCUGACUGUUGUUGUCAAGAGCUCGUGAUCAGCACACGUCGGGACUCCGUUGAGACGAUUGUAAGAGCACAUAACGCUGCUUACUCCUCCAUCCUCGACGCAGCUCUUGAAAGGAGCAUUAUAAGUAUCUUCAAGGUCCUGCUCGGUCACCUGAAGGUACAAUGUUCUCGUUUAGCUCUCAGACAACACCAUCACUUACAAUUGCAUUGAAGUGGUACCGAUCAGUUCCAAGCCAGUUAUCCACGUCGUAAGCCGUCAUAUGCUUGCAGCAAGCUGACACUUUCAGUUUAUCACUCCCGGCUUGCGACUCCUGG